AGCGAACGCUGGCGGCAGGCCUAAUACAUGCAAGUCGAACGAUCCUUCGGGAUAGUGGCAGACGGGUGAGUAACACGUGGGAACGUGCCUUUAGGUUCGGAAUAACACAGGGAAACUUGUGCUAAUACCGGAUGUGCCCUUCGGGGGAAAGAUUUAUCGCCUUUAGAGCGGCCCGCGUCUGAUUAGCUAGUUGGUGAGGU
rnacentral:rRNA from 1 species